UCUCGCGAUCGUUCAUGUAAGAGCGAGACAUAAGUUGUGACGAUAUAUCGCUAUCUCGCUCGUUUUGGUCCUUUGCUACGACAUCGUCACUACUCAGUUGCGCCGCGGCAGUGUCAGUGGGUGGUUGUGCGUGUUUUCGUCAAGACCGAAAUAUUUCGAAUUGAAACGUUGUUGAUGAUAAAGGUCAUGUAAUGAUGGAGUCCAGGGGUAGGAAGAUGCUAGCCUUAUUAGAACGGAAUAAAAUGAUACUGUGGGCACCAGCGAGGAACAAUGUACUUCGGCUGAUAGCAGUUCGAAAGGAGUUACCCAGACACCCAAAGAAAACAGCGAAGAAACAGAUGUAACAAGACCUUCAUUGAAUGAAACCGGCUACGGUAAUUCUACUCAAACUCAUGUCAGUAGCAGUUCUAGCAGUUCUAGAUAGCGACGACUCUAUCUGAAAGGACUCUAUCUAUAUAAGGAUCCAAUGUAUAUACCGCCCGAAAACCCAAGUCAAAACAACCACGAUGAGUUACCUGCCGACGAAGAAAACGAAAUGUUGUCUGUCUUUGAUAGCUCUAUACAAAAUUUGCAAUCGACCUCGGCUCCAAAUACGACUAAUACUUCUGCAAGGCCGUCUACUUCCAGAGAAGGGAGAAUCCCAACGAGCCCUGCUGUGAGUCCUGAAAAAAAGAGAGGAAGAAAACGCAAGCGUGAUGAAGCACAACGGAAGAAAAAUAUUGCCAAAAGAUUACGAAACACAGGAAAAGCUUAUCAGACUACAAAAAAGAAGAUCAGAGAGGAGAGAAAAAUUAAAGAACUUUGUGGAGAAAAAUGUAGACUGAAAUGUGGGUCUAAAUUCACGGAAGAAGAAAGAAAAACAUUGUUUGAAAACUUUUGGGCAUUGGGUGACAAUAAAAAAUAAUGGGAAUAUAUUUUAAGGAGCAUGACUGUUAUUACUCCAAAAUACCGAUACGUCCGCAAAGGUGGAACGAGAAAACCUCGUUAAAAAAAUAGUGCAUUCCAUCUGAAAUUACCCAACAAAACAAUAAGGGUGUACAAAAUGUUCUUUAAAAAUACCCUAUGCAUCAAUGAUCGUCCAAUUCGAACUGUUUUGGAGAAACAAGAUAAAGUUGCCAAUUGUUUGUUAGCUGAGGAUAAGCGCGGCAAACAUGACAACCACGCACACGUCGAUGAAGCCAUAAAAAAAGGAAUAAGG